rnacentral:rRNA from 1 species
AAUAGAUACCCAGGUAGUCCACCGCCGUAAACGAUGAGUGCUAAGUGUUAGAGGGUUUCCGCCCUUUAGUGCUGCAGCUAACCGCAUUAAGCACUCCGCCUGGGGAGUACGGUCGCAAGACUGAAACUCAAAGGAAUUGACGGGGGCCCGCACAAGCGGUGGAGCAUGUGGUUUAAUUCGAAGCAACGCGAAGAACCUUACCAGGUCUUGACAUCCCACUGACCGGUAUAGAGAUAUACCUUUCCCUUCGGGGACAGUGGUGACAGGUGGUGCAUGGUUGUCGUCAGCUCGUGUCGUGAGAUGUUGGGUUAAGUCCCGCAACGAGCGCAACCCUUGAUCUUAGUUGCCAGCAUUUAGUUGGGCACUCUAAGGUGACUGCCGGUGACAAACCGGAGGAAGGUGGGGAUGACGUCAAAUCAUCAUGCCCCUUAUGACCUGGGCUACACACGUGCUACAAUGGAUGGUACAAAGGGCUGCAAGACUGCGAAGUCAAGCCAAUCCCAUAAAACCGAUUCUCAGUUCGGAUUGC